AUUGGGGUCUGCAACUCGACCCCAUGAAGUCGGAGUCGCUAGUAAUCGCAGAUCAGCAACGCUGCGGUGAAUACGUUCCCGGGCCUUGUACACACCGCCCGUCACGUCACGAAAGUCGGUAACACCCGAAGCCGGUGGCCCAACCCUUGUGGAGGGAGCCGUCGAAGGUGGGGCUGGCGAUUGGGACUAAGUCGUAACAAGGUAGCCGUACCGGAAGGUGCGGCUGGAUCACCUCCUUUCUAAGGAG
rnacentral:rRNA from 1 species